GCUUUGUAAUAUUGCUUGAGGUCUGGAAGAGUUAUGCCUCCUGGUUGGUUUUUGUUUCUCAGGAUUACUUUGGCAAUUCUGGUUUUUUUGUGGUUCCAUAUGAGUUUUUGGAUUGUUUGUUCUAGUUCUGUGAAAAAUGUCAUGGGUACUUUGAUAGGGAUUGCACUGAAUCUGUUAAUUGCUUUGGGUAGUAUGGCCAUUUUUACAAUAUUAAUUUUUCCUGUCCAGUAGCACGGACUAUCUUUCCAUUUCUUUACAUCUUCUUUAAUUUCCUUGAUUAAUGUUUUAUAGUUCUCAGCAUAUAAGUCUUUUACCUCCUUCAUCAGGUGUAUUCCCAAGUAUUUGAUUUUUGGGGGGUGCAAUUUUAAAAGAUUGUAUGUCUGUAUUCCUUUUCUAAUAUUUCAUUGUUAGUGUACAGAAAUGUGACAGAUUUCUGAAUGUUAAUCUUAUAUCCUGCUACUUUGCUGAUCAGUUCAAGUAAUUUUGGGGUUGAGUUCUUAGGGUUUUCUAUGUAUAGUAUCAUGUUAUCUGCAUACAUGACAGUUUUACCUCUUCUCUUCCUAUUUGGGUAGAUUUUAUUUCUUUUUUCUUUUGUUUGUCUGAUUGCUGUGGCUAGGACUUCCAAUAGCAAUGGUGAGAGUGGGUAUCCCUGUCUUGUUCCGGAUUUUAGUGGGAAGGCUUUCAAUUUUUCUCCAUUGAAUAUUAUAUUUGCUUUGGGUUUGUCAUAAAUGACUUUGAUUAUGUGAAGAUAUGUUCCCUCUAUACCCACUUUGGUAAGAGUUUUUAUCAACAAUGGAUGUUGAACUUUUUCAAGUGCUUUUUCUGCAUCUAUUGAGAUGAUCAUGUGGUUUUUGACUUUUCUUUUGUUAAUGUGGUGUAUGAUGUUGAUUGAUUUGCAUAUGUUGAACCAUCCUUGCGAACCUGGGAUGAAUCUCACCUGGUCAUGGUGUAUGAUCUUUUUGAUAUGUUGUUGGAUUCAGUUGGCUAAAAUUUUGCUGAGAAUUUUUGCAUCUAUAUUCAUCAAAAAUAUUGGUCAAUAGUUUUCUUUUUUGGUGGUUCUUUGAUUUUAGAAUUAGGGUAUGAUGGCAUCAUAGAAUGUCUUUGGGAGUGUUCCUGCUUUUUCAACCUUUUGAAAAAUUUUAAGGAGGUUGGGCACCAGUUCCUCUUUGGAUGUUUGGUAGAAUUCAACUGUGAAGCCAUCUGGUCCCAGACUUUUAUUUGUAGGUAGUGUUUUUUUGACGUAUUCAAUUUCACUUCUAGUGAUCAGUCUGUUCAGUUGGUUUAUUUCUUUGUGAUUCAGUUUUGGCAGGCUGUAAGACUCUAGAAAGAUGUCUAUUUCUUCCAGAUUGUCAAAUUUGUUGGCAUAUAAUUGUUCAUAGUAUUCUCACAUGUUUUUUUGUAUUUCUGCCGUAUCCAUUGUGAUUUCUCCUUUUUCAUGUCUUAUUUUGUUUAUUUGGGUUUUUUCUCUUCUCUUCUUAGUGAGUCUAGCCAGAGGUUUGUCUAUUUUGUUUACCUUUUCAAAGAACCAGCUCUUGGUUUUAUUAUUUUUUUCUAUUGUUUUUGAAUCUCUAUUUUAUUGAUU
rnacentral:lncRNA from 1 species